GGAGGGUACAGCUCAGUGGUAGAGUGCCUGCCUAGCAUGCACGAGGUCCUGGGUUCGAUCCCCAGGGCCUCCG
rnacentral:tRNA from 1 species